rnacentral:rRNA from 1 species
CCUACGGGAGGCAGCAGUGGGGGAUAUUGCACAAUGGGCGAAAGCCUGAUGCAGCGACGCCGCGUGAGGGAAGACGGUCUUCGGAUUGUAAACCUCUGUCUUUGGGGAAGAAGAUGACGGUACCCAAAGAGGAAGCUCCGGCUAACUACGUGCCAGCAGCCGCGGUAAUACGUAGGGAGCGAGCGUUGUCCGGAUUUACUGGGUGUAAAGGGUGCGUAGGCGGUCCUGCAAGUCAGAAGUGAAAUCCAUGGGCUUAACCCGUGAACUGCUUUUGAAACUGCAGGACUUGAGUGGAGUAGAGGUAG